rnacentral:lncRNA from 1 species
UUCUAAUAUAUUUUUUAUUUCUUAAUUACAAGUAUAAUAAAGUUUUUUUUAACAUAUUGCACACAAGUGGCAUGAAAUAUCACAUGACUAUAUAAAACAUACUAACAUUUUAAAUUCAGUUCUAAUAAAAUAAGAAAACACAAGCAGUAUUGUGACAUAUUCUGCCGCCUCAUUUCAAAAGGUGCCAGAGAUUUUCCUGAUAGAAAUUCUGAAGUUUUUAAAUCAGAAUAAGAUAUUGCUUCUGUAAAAAAAAUUAUACAAAUCUGCUGAAACAUGAAACAAUAGAAUGUUAAUCGUCAAAAUAAUUUGUAAUCAGUAUCCCUUUGAAACAAAGAUGUAAAGGCAUAAGGCUAGUAUGUUAAUAUCAAGAAGUACUACAGAGUAUAUGCAAGCAAAGUUCAUUCAAAUAAAUCAAACCUGAUAAUGAAAAAGAUCCUUUUAAAUUUUAAAAAAAUUCAAAAUAUUUUGUACAUUCUUGGUUUUUAAUUAAACAAAAUCUUGAAUCCAAAUCAUUUCCAGAACUUAGCCAUGGGCAGUUAAUAUAAACCUUUUGUAUGUUGCUUAUUAAUUGUUUGUUAAACAAAACAUAUCAAAACAAAUGUAAUUUUUUCUGUAAACACAGUAGCAAAAUAUCAGGCAUAUGAUUAAUUGCAAAACAACUAUAUCUACAAGGAUGAAGCACAAUAAUACUCAAAACAAGUAACUGUGACUCAUACAACUGUGCCCAAAAAUAUUAAUCUUGUGUAUGAAAUACAGUCAUCAAACCAUUAUUAAAUCAUUAAGAGUAGAUUCUCCAAAUUGUUUAUUUUAACAUGCUGGUAAAAUUUCAUUGGAAUAUAACCACCAAUCUAAUUCUUAUACAUAUAGUUACAAGGGAGAUAAUCACAUGAAUAUAGAAGCCCAAAGAUAGCACACCAAAUUUUAAGUUUUAGUGUGACAUUGUCACUACCAUAGUUUCUGAGUUUUUAAUACAGUAUUCAGCCUUAUUUUAGGCUUAUGUUUUUAUAUUAUAUGGAUACUAUAAGUUUAAAUAAUAUAUUUAUAUCUAUACUUAAGUUAUAAAACAAUACAAAUUAGCUGUAACAAGUAACAUAUGACUAAACAAGAGUUGUGAUGACAAAUUUUAGAACUUACAAGGGUCAAAGUUUCAAAGUUCAAAGGUAUAUAAAUUCAAACUAUUCCUGGCAUUACUGCAUGAAAUUGACCAAACCCAUUAUUCAAAGAUAAUGUUGUAUGUAGCCUCUUUUAGUCAUUAUCUAUUCAAAGUAUUUGGCACACCACGUAAAUGAUAUUUCUCUGGUGUUGGUAAUAAUUUGCUCAGUUGUAGAGAGAAAAAAAGUCAUCAUUGUUUUUUUCUGGCAGCAGUUGUUCACUUCAUCUGUGUCACAAAUAAGUUUUGGAAAUCACAAACAAUUGAAAUUAAAAUGAUUUUAUUCAGUCACAGUGUUCAUAUGGGACAAAUUCAUAAAAUAAUCAGAAUUCAUAAAAGAUUGCUAAAAAUACAAAAUUUAUACAAAAAAAUCUCCAUAAAAACUAAAAUUGAUAACAAAAUACAUGAAAUUUAUAAGAGUCAAGUACAUAUAUGUAUUCAUAUCUAAAAUAUCAACAAUAUUAUUCUAUAAUAAAGUAACUAAAACAGUAUUAUUCUAUUUCAAUCACUUAAAAUGCUCACAUAUUUGAAAUAAAAUAAACACAAAAUAAAUAAAUACAAAAUUCUGUCAUUAUCAAAUAUUCACACAAAUCCAGAAUAAAAAUUUCAGGUCAAAAUUUGUCAUGUAGUCCUUGAAUAUUGUCUAAUGUCAAUGUAUACUUGGAAUGUAAAAUUUUAAAAUAGUUCCCAUGGCAACUGUUUACUUUAAUACUUUCAUAUUUUUUCAGUGUUUUUGUUGUCUUAUCAAGUUUACCCCAGAUUAUUACCCAUUUUUUAUAUGUUUUUCUGAAAAAAGGCAAAACUUUGUUUCACCUCAAAUUAGUAUUUUUUACAAAUGAGCAUCAACUAUUUGCCACUGCCACUGGACAUUAUGCAAACAAUCAAUCAGCAGAACAGGAAGACAUUCUUUGAUCUCAUCUUUUUUUUUUACUUUGAACAAACAACAGCCACUUAUAUUACAAAAAUGGCAGCUAAAGAAUUGGAGUCACAACAUUAACAGUACUGAUGUAAAUAGUCUUCUUGUCUUUUGUCCUAAUUCUGAUGUGAUUAACUUAGAUAAAUAAAACCCACUAAUUCUUAAUAUAGACAAUUAUAGGACACUAUUACGCUUUUCUUUCAUUAAAACUGAAUCUAAUUUAUUAACUUUAUAAAAUAUAUAGGACACCAUAACACAUGACAACAUCAAAAUCUUUGACAAGACGUCAAGAUAUUUCAUUUGUUGUCUACUUUUUACAUUAGUAUUUAUUUGACUCAAAGACUUCCAAUAGCAGGGACAAAAAUAUGCUGGAAAUCACAACACCUUACAACAUCAAAAUCUUAAGACUAGAUGUCAAGACAUUUCAUUUAUUUGUCUAAUUACAAAACAACGAUUAAUUUGACUGGUGACUGACUGUCUCUGAAAAACAGCAUGGACAAAAAUACAAUGCUUUACAACAUCAAAAUCUUAGGACUAUAAGUCACACUAUGUCAUAGGUGAUGCACUUAUGAAGUCUAUCAAACCUAUUGUCAGAUCCAACACAAUGUUCACCAUGUGUGUGUCGGUGUAAAUUGAUGAUUAUUUAUCUUACUUAAGGAGUUGUUUCCCCUUUUCUAAAAAAAUUGUGAUUGGAAAAUGGACUUCUGAAAGAUAUGGC